UCGAACGCGGUUAGUAGCAAUACUAACUGAGUGGCGAACGGGUGAGUAACACGUGGGUGACCUACCUUCGAGUGGGGGAUAACGUCCCGAAAGGGACGCUAUACCGCAUAACAUCCUGCUUUGAACAGGUGGAGAUCAAAGCCGGGGACCGCAAGGCCGCGUGCUUGAAGAGGGGGCCCGCGUCCGAUUAGCUAGUUGGUGGGGUAAUGGCUCACCAAGCAACGAUCGGUAGCCGGCCUGAGAGGGCGGACGCACACUGGGACUGAGGACACGGCCCAGACUCCUACGGGAGGCAGCAGUGGGGAAUAUUGCACAAUGGGCGCAAGCCGAUGCCGCCACGCCGCGUGGGGUGAAGAAGUCCUAGGGUUGUAAACCCCUUUUCGCGGGGAAGGAUAAGUGAGUUGACCCGCAGUAGAAGCCCCGGCUAACUCCGUGCCAGCAGGCCGGCGGUAAUACAGGAGGGGCUAAGCGUUGUUCGGAAUUACUGGGCGUAAAGGCGCGCGUAGGCGGACCUGCAAGUCGGGGGUGAAAGCCCGAGGCUCAACCUCGGACUGCCUUCGAUACUGGCGGUCUCGAGUCGGAGAGGGAGUGGAAUUCCUAGUGUAGCGGUGAAAUUCGUAGAUAUUAGGAAGAACACCAGUGGCGAAGGCGGCUCACUGGUCCGGUCCUUGACGCUGAGGCGCGAAAGCAGUGGGAGCAACGGAUUAUAUACCCUGGUAGUCCACGCCGUAAACUAUCGGGUGCUAGCCGUCGGGGAGCAUGCUCUUCGGUGGCGCAGCAAACGCCUUAAGCCCCCCGCCUGGGAGUACGGUCGCAAGAUUAAAACUCAAAGGAAUUGACGGGGCCCGCACAAGCGUGGAGCAUGUGGUUUAGUUCGAGGCAACGCGAAGAACCUUACCAGCCUUGACUUCCGGUCGGGGCUCCGAGACGGAGCUCUUCAGAUUGGCCGGUGAUGGUGCUGCCAGGCUGUCGUCAAGCCGUGUCGUGAAGAUGUUGGGUUAAGUCCGCAACGAGCGCAACUCCCCCUGCCAUUAGUUGCCAUCAAUUCAUUUGGGCACUCUAAUGUGGGACUGCCGGUGAUAAGCGGAGGAAGGUGGGGAUGAACGUCAGUCAGCAUGGCCCUUACGGCUGGGCUACACACGUGCUACAAUGGCGGUGACAGUGGGCAGCCACUCCGCGAGGAGGAGCUAAUCCAAAGCCGUCUCAGUUCGGAUUGGUUCUCUGCAACUCGAGAGCAUGACGUCGAAUCGCUAGUAAUCGUGGAUCAGCAUGCCACGGUGAAUACGUUCCCGGGCCUUGUACACACCGCCCGUCACACCAUUGGGAGUUGGUUUACCCGAAGACGGUGCGCUAACCAGCAAUGGAGGCAGCCGGCCACGGUAGGGUCAGCGACUGGGGUG
rnacentral:rRNA from 1 species